rnacentral:rRNA from 1 species
ACGGAAGGUGCGAGCGUUAAUCGGAAUUACUGGGCGUAAAGCGCAUGCAGGUGGUUCAUUAAGUCAGAUGUGAAAGCCCCGGGCUUAACCUGGGAACUGCGUUUGAAACUGGUGGACUGGAGUACGGUAGAGGGGGGUAGAAUUUCAGGUGUAGCGGUGAAAUGCGUAGAGAUGUGGAGGAAUACCGGUGGCGAAGGCAGCCCCCUGGGCAGACACUGACGCUCAGGCACGAAAGCGUGGGGAGCAAACAG